CAUUUUUUAAUAAACAUAGCAGUUUCAGGGAAACUGCUAUGUUUAUGAAUGGGUUAAGCCUUCCCCUAAAGCCUCUAGCGGUUGUCUCAUUGUAAAUGCUUUCCUAUGCGACCGGCUGAAUGCGCGCGCAGCUCUUGCCGCGCGUGCGCAUUCAGCUAAAUGGGCGGAGAGGAGGAGGAUCGGAGGAGAAGAGCUCCCCGCCCGGUGCUGGAGAAAGGUAAGUUUUUACCCCUUUCCCCCUUCCAGAGCCGGGCGGGAGGGGGUCCCUGAGGGUGGGGGCACCCUCAGGGCACUAUAGUGCCAGGAAAACGAGUAUGUUUUCCUGGCACUAUAGUGGUCCUUUAACUCCUAAAUGACAGUGAAUUGAGCAGUGAAAUUGCAGGGGAAUGAUCUAUACACUAAAACUGCUUUAUUUAGCUAAAGUCAUUUAGGUGACUAUAGUGUUCCUUUAACUAAAUUCUGAAUUCUAGCAAAUUAAAACCAGAAUGGAAAAAAGGCCAAUUUAAGGCCAAAUUAGGCCAACGAAGACAACUACAGCUUUUUUGCAAUUAUAGUUUAUGUUCACUAGAGUUGGGUGUUAAUGAAAUAAUGAAAUAAGCCUUACUCCUCCUAGAGCAGUG